rnacentral:tRNA from 1 species
GCCAGUGUGGUUUAGUGGUUUGAAUGUUUGACUAUGACUCUGAACACCAGAGUUCAAAUCCCUGCCUGACC